GCAGUGGUGGUUCAAUGGUCAAAUUCUCGCCUUCCAUGCGGGAGACACGGGUUCAAUUCCUGGCUGAUGCA
rnacentral:tRNA from 1 species